rnacentral:rRNA from 1 species
AUUGAACGCUGGCGGCAGGCCUAACACAUGCAAGUCGAACGAGUGGCGGACGGGUGAGUAAUGUCUGGGAAACUGCCCGAUGGAGGGGGAUAACUCCUGGAAACUGUAGCUAAUACCGCAUACCAUCGGAUGUGCACAGAUGGGAUUGGCUAGUAGGUGGGGUAACGGCUUACCUAGGCGACGAUCCCUAGCUGUUCUGAGAGGAUUCCCAGCCACACUGGAACUGAGACACGGUCCAGCCUCCUACGGGAGGCAGCAGGGGGGAAUAUUGCACAAUGGGCGCAAGCCUGAUGCAGCCAUGCCGCGUGUAUGAAGAAGGCCUUCGGGUUGUAAAGUACUUUCAGCGAGGAGGCGUUACUGGCAGAAGAAGCACCGGCUAACUCCGUGCCAGCAGCCGCGGUAAUUC